ACUCGUUUCUGCAAACAGUCACACAACCAGGACAUUCUUAAACAGUUCUGUUUCAGAGGCGGAUGAUUUAAAUAAUCAAUUUAUUUGAGUUAAAAAACAGAAAUAGGGCUGGGCACGGCGGCUCAUGCCUGAGAUCCCAGCACUUUGGGAGACUGGGGUAGGAGGAUUGCUUGAGCCCAGGAGUUCAAGACCAGCCUGGACAACAUAGUGAGAGUCCAGCUUUACAAAAAAUAAAAAUAAAAAAAUUGGCCAGGUGAGGUGGCUCAUGCCUGUAAUCUCAGCACUUUGGGAGGCCGAGGUGGGUGGAUCACGAGGUCAGGAGAUCGAGACCAUCCUGGCUAACACGGUGAAACCCCAUCUCUACUAAAAAUACAAAAAAUUAGCCAGGCGUGGUGGCAGGCACCUGUAGUCCCAGCUACUCAGGAGGCUGAGGCAGGAGAAUCGCUUGAACCCGGGAGGCUGAGGUCGCAGUGAGCCGAGAUCAUGCCACUGCACUCCAGCCUGGGCAACAGAGAGAGAUUCCAUCUCAAAAAUAAAAAUAAAAAAAUAAAAAAAAUUAACUAGGUGUGCUGGCCCAUGCCUGUAGUCCUAGCUACUAAGGAAACUGAGGUAGAAGGAUUGCUUGAGAGCCUGGGAGGUUGAGACUGCAGUGAGCUGUGAUCACAUCACUGCACUCCAGCCUUCUUUAAAAAAAAAAAAGAAAAAAGAAAAGGAAAUGGACACAAAAUACCCUUAGUUUUUUUUAGUGAUUCAAACCCCUGGGUCACUUUGUUGUUGUUGUUGUUGUUAGAGAUGGGGUCUCAGUAUGUUGCUCAGGCUGGAGUGAAGUGGUCAUUCACAGGUGUGAUCAUGGUACACUGUGGCCUCCAAUUCCCAUCCCAGCCUCCUGAGUAGCUGAGCCUACAGUGUGUACCACCACACUUGGUUUCUGGAUCGCUUUUGAGAGAUUUUGGAGUGUCACUGGCUGAAGGACCUUUGUCUGGCUUGGCAGAGCCUGGCCCUUGGGUGCUGGCCAUGGUCUCUGGUUAUGUGGGGCAAGCCUGACUCAUUCUUCCUCUUUGAGGCUCCUUUGCAUAGAUUCCUUGCACACAUCACUUUUUCAUUUUCUAUAGCUCAAAACAGAUUUCAGUUUCCAAGACUGUAACUCAGCGUAUGUGCAUUUACAUUUAGUUUGGGAUAUGCUAAUGUGGUCAGCAGCACAUUUCUAGAAAAUUGCUCCCAGUGGCUGCUACUGCAAAGUUAAAGUUCUGAUUUAAUGUUGACCCUCAUUGACCGUGGGCGGGGAGGCUGACAUUUUCAUCCUCAUCCCCAGGAUCUUGGAGGAGUGUCCCCUGUGGGUAUGGUAGCCUCUGGGGCCCUGAGCUGUGGACAGCGGAUGAGAGGUGGAGUGAGCCUGAAGGGCAGUUGUUGUCACACAGAGCCUGGAGAAAGCAUUUGGGAGGAGCUUCAGCCCUGGCAUCUCCUCUUAUCAGAGUUCCUCUGGGCCAGUCAGUGCGCAUGUCACUUUCUUGCCAGGUCAGUCAGGCCUGUGUAGACACAUCCCCGGCCCCUUUCCUUUGGAGCUGUGGUGUAAGCCCAGAAUCAGUUCCCAUCCAUGGCCAACAGGGUCUUCCUCAGGCACUGGCCCCAGCAGAAGGACAUCCCUCUGAUCCCCUGCUCUUGGAAAACAUCGCAGAGGUGGAUGUGCUUUGCCGGGUCAGCAGUGCCAAUAAUAGUGCUGAGCCAUGAACCCAAGGGCGAGCAGGAAAGAAAAGAGGAUGGAAGAAAGACAAAGAGGAAAUAGUAUGGAAAGAGAAAAGAAAACUGAGAGAGGGGAAAUGUGUAGAAAGACGAAAGGAAAAUCAACAUGCCUCAUGGGGAUGAGUCCUGUGCUGGUGGCAGUGCCUCUCCCAUUAGGCACUGUCACUCCCAGGCUGGACUCAAUCUCUCUCUGUUUUGCACAAUGAAGAUUAGGCAGAAUGUGAAUGGCAUAGCAAGUGAGAGCCUGCUGACGUGGCGUGCUCUGGGGGAUCAAUGCCCAUGAAAGAGAAAUGUGACUACAUUAGAAGCUCUGCAGAGGCAGAUAUUCAGAGCUUGUUCAUCCCCGUACCCCAAUGCCCAGGAACAGUGCCUGACACGUCCUAAGCACAUGAUAAAUAUCUGUUGAAUUAAAUCGAAUGUUAGGUGAAUGCUGAAGAACGAAGUUGGAUCUGCUAUUGUCCUCGCAUUCUCAUGGAUCUAAAGGUGAGUUCCUCUACUCCUCUAGGCUCCCAUAUUUAGAGACUACAGCUCCAUGUCUACCCUUGACUUGGAGCGAUUCUCCCCCAACGAGGAGGACACACCUGGGGCAGCACAGGAGGAGGUGGCUGCAGCCAGGUCGGUGGACUGGGCCCGACACAGGACAGACAGUUUCGUUCGUCUAUGGUGCCGCUGGGGCUGUACCUUUUGGGUUGCUAGGAGUCAGGAAUAGCAUGCGAGCCCUGGAGGGAGGGGGAUGGAGAUCUAGAAUAAAGGCCCUGUGCCUUGGACCCAUGCAGCAUUUAAAUCGUCAUUCUGUUGUAAAGUAGGUGGCGUUAAUAUUUCUCAGGCGAAUUGUCUCCCCCAUGGGGAAGCAGAGCUUGGGCAUCAAGCUGUGCUGAGUUGGGUGCUGGCUCCUACGCUGGGAGCCCCGGUGUAGACUGGGGAGGGGGCGGGGCAGCUGGAGGGCUCCAGCCAUGUUUCUGCUAUUUUCCACCGUAACGCUGAUGGGAGCAGGGCUGUUGUAGGAGUUCCUGGACAAAGCUAGGCAGGAGUCUCAGGAUCUCUAGGAUGCAGGACAGGUUUCUUCCCCUCGGGUUCUGUCCAUGAGCAGACCAAGAACCUUUCAAAUGACAGUGGUCACAUUAUUUAGUCUGAAACUGGGGUUUCCAAAAAGCCUGAUUCCUUGUAUAAAGUCAAAUCAGCAAAAACCCACUUGGACUAGGCUGCAUACUUGGCAUUUGCAGCCUCUCCCUAUU
rnacentral:lncRNA from 10 species